GCCUAAAAGGCGGCCCAUCCUUUCCAGGUUAAUGGAGGGAGGUGGGUGUCUCUUCCCUCCCCUCAUAUUACUUCUCCUCUUACAAGAUAAUCAGGUCAGAUCCAAUCACUGUGCCCAGUGGAGCUCCCAGCUAAAGCCCCGCAGUACAUACAUUCUCCAGAGGACGGUCCCGGAGACCAGGAUGAGCUUCCCGAAGGAAGACCCCGAUCGCGGAUCCUUUCCUCCUCCUCCUCAGCCUCGGAAGACAGCUGGGUUCCCGCCAGAUCUCCGAGCCUGCCUACCUCUCCUUAAGGUUACCUCCCCCCGGCCCGCCGUGAGCCCUGAAACAAGGGGCCGGUGAUUCCACCCUCCCGCCUCCCCCUCCCCGAGCGACGGGAAUUUGGACUUACGCCUUGUAAAAGAGGCUGUACGGCGGGGUGGUGGCCGCCAGCUGGGUCACCACGGAUAUCGCCACGAUCACGAGAACCGGCAGCAACUGGAUGAACACGGAGUAGGGGUUCUGCGAGAGAAAGACAGCGGGUGGGCCCGGGACCCUUGGGAAAGCCCCUUCCGAGGGAGAGAUUUGGGGUCGUUAAUGCUAAUGGUGUUCGUUAGGCGCUUAUUGUGUGCCGGGCAGUGUUCUAAGCGCCGGGGUAGAUGAGAGGUCAUCAGGUUGUCCCACGCGGGGCUCACAGUCUUCAUCCCCAUUUGACGGAUGAGGGAACUGAGGCACAGAGCGGUUAAGUGGCCUGCUCAAGGUGACCCAGUGGACGAGCGGCGGAGCCGGGACUGGAACCCACAUCCUCUGACUCCCAAGCCCGGGCUCUUUCCGCUACGCCGCGCUGCUUCUCUGACGUUGACUACUAAGUAUUCGGAGGGGCGAGAAAUGAGUAAGAUGGAGAAAAUAUCCCAA